GCCGGAGUGGCGGAACUGGUAGACGCGCACGACUCAAACUCGUGUUCCUCCGGGAGUGGGAGUUCGAUUCUCCCCUCCGGCACCA
rnacentral:tRNA from 1 species